rnacentral:lncRNA from 1 species
UAGAUGAAUCCAGAGUCGAUCGGUUUUCAAAGAAUGCUUUAAACUCACUCAAGCUUUAGAUUCUUGUAUUUUUCAGCAUUAAUUGGCAUACAUAGGGGGAAAAAAGUACGGCCCAGAUGGCAAGUUUAUAGCUUAGCCGAAAGAUCCGUUCCUAUGCUAACCAGAGAAUGAAACUGCCAAUUGACACCUGAUCUCUGGCAGUUAUUUAUGGCAAUGAACCAAGGGAAAAGCCUGUCUCUCUGCAAGAUCACGAGUCUGCAAAAUCCAGACCAGCCUCAUAUUUGAGAUGUCUGAUUUCAUCGGUAUUACUAACAUAAAAGUACAUCAAUUGGACAGGAAGACGCGACAGAAGAAGAGGCUCAGCAUCCGAGCUAUUACACCAACACAACGGAGUCAAUUAGGGACACACAAUGUCUAAGCACUUUCCAAAGUGAAAUCAGACCAGCACACAAUUCUGCACCCAUUACAACAGCACCAAAAAAAAAGAGAAAAAAAUCGGGUUUUCGAAAUACUCGUGGCAGGUUUUCUUCCGGAAAUGCGGAAAGCCUCAUGGCGGGGGAGCCCCGGGCUCGAAGAGCGGCGGGCAGCAGCUUCGGAACAGACCACAGCAGCACAGAAACCACAUGCUGCAUAACAGGCCAACAAAAGAAGAAAAGAAUCAACUAUAAUGAGCAAUUAUAUUUGCGCUUUCGUAUACUGUGUCACGGAAUCGAUCUUAAUUUGCAUGCAUUGGAACUUUUUCUCCAUUGACGACGGACCUUUAACAUAUACGCUCAGGUAUUUGUUUUUUGGAUUAACAUCUAGAGUUACAAAGAGUGAUGAAGAAAGAAUCAUCUUACAGGCAAUCCAAGCAUCCUCCUCCAGCGGGCGGACCAGGCGGCGGGGCGGGCGCGAGAAGCGGUGCACUUGGCGGCGGAGGCUCCAUGGCCGACCGGGAGGAGAGAUUGGACACUUUCUCAAAGUAAGACAGGAAGCUGAGUGAAUGAGACUCGUAUCCUUUGAAAAGAGGUUAAGCUCGCUUUUAUCGUAGAGCUCCUCCUUGCCCCAGGUCAGAGGGCAUUCAUCUACCAGUCAAGCCAUGGGACUAACUACCCAGAUUUUGGACAUGUUCAUCAAACCGGUUAUUUAUGAAGUAAGACAAGUUUCAGAUGCACGUGGAUGACAACUACGGAUACUCACAGAAAAAAGGGAUAAUUACAGAGGAAUCGCGAGGCAAUGUGGAUUGUUAAUGCCUCUUCACUCCUUGAUUGAAUCUGUGCGAGGAGAUCAGUGUCAGUAUCCCGGCAUUCUUUUCCUGUCCCGGUUUUUUCAAGCAACAAGCAUCGUUUUCCGUUGCAUGUGCCCUGUAAG